AGUGAACGCUGGCGGUAGGCCUAACACAUGCAAGUCGAACGGCAGCACAGUAAGAGCUUGCUCUUACGGGUGGCGAGUGGCGGACGGGUGAGGAAUACAUCGGAAUCUACUUUUUCGUGGGGGAUAACGUAGGGAAACUUACGCUAAUACCGCAUACGACCUACGGGUGAAAGCAGGGGAUCUUCGGACCUUUCGCGAUUGAAUGAGCCGAUGUCGGAUUAGCUAGUUGGCGGGGUAAAGGCCCACCAAGGCGACGAUCCGUAGCUGGUCUGAGAGGAUGAUCAGCCACACUGGAACUGAGACACGGUCCAGACUCCUACGGGAGGCAGCAGUGGGGAAUAUUGGACAAUGGGCGCAAGCCUGAUCCAGCCAUACCGCGUGGGUGAAGAAGGCCUUCGGGUUGUAAAGCCCUUUUGUUGGGAAAGAAAAGCAGCAGGUUAAUCCCCCGCUGUUCUGACGGUACCCAGAGAAUAAGCACCGGCUAACUUCGUG
rnacentral:rRNA from 1 species